UACGGAGGGUGCGAGCGUUGUCCGGAAUCACUGGGCGUAAAGGGCGCGUAGGUGGCCUCUUAAGUGUGUGGUGAAAGCCCGGGGCUCAACCCCGGGUCGGCCAUGCAAACCUGGGGGGCUGGAGCACUGUAGAGGGCAGGCGGAAUUCCGGGUGUAGCGGUGGAAUGCGUAGAGAUCCGGAAGAACACCGGUGGCGAGGCGGCCGCUGGGCAGUUGCUGACAC
rnacentral:rRNA from 1 species